AAUAUCAAAGGUGAGCCAGUACAGGAUGGACCCGCGUCUGAUUAGCUAGUUGGUAAGGUAACGGCUUACCAAGGCGACGAUCAGUAGCCGACCCGAGAGGGUGAUCGGCCACAUUGGAACUGAGACACGGUCCAAACUCCUACGGGAGGCAGCAGUGGGGAAUAUUGCACAAUGGGCGAAAGCCUGAUGCAGCAACGCCGCG
rnacentral:rRNA from 1 species